rnacentral:rRNA from 1 species
AGCGAACGCUGGCGGCAGGCCUAACACAUGCAAGUCGAACGAACUCUUCGGAGUUAGUGGCGGACGGGUGAGUAACACGUGGGAACGUGCCUUUUUGUUCGGAAUAACUCAGGGAAACUUGUGCUAAUACCGAAUGUGCCCUUCGGGGAAAGGAUUUAUCGCCAUUAGAGCGGCCCGCGUCUGAUUAGCUAGUUGGUGGU